CCCCUGUGCUCACAGCAUGGACAGCUAGAGCAGAUUGAUAAGGAAGUUUGUGCCUGCUUCCUCACUGGGCACCACAGAGAGGAGGUUGUCUCCAUCCAUUGAGUUCCCCAUCAGCCCAUCUCUCCAGCCUGCUGAAGCUCCUCUGAGGGGGAGAACAUCCAUUGGUUGUAUCAGCCAUUCCUCCCAAGUGUGUACCAUCACUCCUGCUCAGAGUGCAGCCUGCCUCAUUGUCCAGGUCAUGAAUGAAGAGACUGUACUGCCAUAAUUCAGAUCACUGGCAGUUUUCAAGUAGGAGCAUUUGUACAGGAGUGACUGUUGAAGAGAAGAGACCAAAAUGGCAAUUGAUACUGGUUCGUUCCUUUCAAGUGGAGUGAGAACACAUCUGUGAACUCCACAUCUGUAUCUCUGCCUGCUGCAGGUGUCCUGAACUUCCUGCAGCUACAUAGGAGACACAAAUUCUUUUAUUCCCUGCAUGAACCGCUACCUGUUCUGUACCCAAAACAGA